AUUGAACGCUGGCGGCAUGCCUUACACAUGCAAGUCGAACGGUAACAGGUCUUCGGAUGCUGACGAGUGGCGAACGGGUGAGUAAUACAUCGGAACGUGCCCGAGAGUGGGGGAUAACGAGGCGAAAGCUUUGCUAAUACCGCAUACGAUCUCAGGAUGAAAGCAGGGGACCGCAAGGCCUUGCGCUCACGGAGCGGCCGAUGGCAGGUUAGGUAGUUGGUGGGAUAAAAGCUUACCAAGCCGACGAUCUGUAGCUGGUCUGAGAGGACGACCAGCCACACUGGGACUGAGACACGGCCCAGACUCCUACGGGAGGCAGCAGUGGGGAAUUUUGGACAAUGGGCGCAAGCCUGAUCCAGCCAUGCCGCGUGCAGGAUGAAGGCCUUCGGGUUGUAAACUGCUUUUGUACGGAACGAAAAGACUCCUUCUAAUAAAGGGGGUCCAUGACGGUACCGUAAGAAUAAGCACCGGCUAACUACGUGCCAGCCGCCACAGUAACAC
rnacentral:rRNA from 1 species